rnacentral:rRNA from 1 species
GAUGAACGCUGGCGGCGUGCCUAAUACAUGCAAGUCGAGCGAACGGACGAGAAGCUUGCUUUUCUGAUGUUAGCGGCGGACGGGUGAGUAACACGUGGAUAACCUACCUAUAAGACUGGGAUAACUUCGGGAAACCGGAGCUAAUACCGGAUAAUAUUUUGAACCGCAUGGUUCAAAAGUGAAAGACGGUCUUGCUGUCACUUAUAGAUGGAUCCGCGCUGCAUUAGCUAGUUGGUAAGGUAACGGCUUACCAAGGCAACGAUGCAUAGCCGACCUGAGAGGGGGAUCGGCCACACUGAAACUGGGACACGGGCCAGACCCCCACGGGAGGCAGGAGUAGGGAAUUUUCCGCAAGGGGCGAAAGCCUGACGGAGCAACGCCGGGGGAGUGAUGAAGGUCUUGGGAUCGUAAAACUUUGUUAUUAGGGAAGAACAAUUGUGUAAGUAACUGUGCAAAUUUUGACGGUACCUAAACAGAAAGCCACGGCUAACUACGG